GAUCAUGGCUCAGGACGAACGCUGGCGGCGUGCUUAACACAUGCAAGUCGAACGAGAAUCUACUGAAAGAGUUUUCGGACAAUGGAUGUAGAGGAAAGUGGCGGACGGGUGAGUAACGCGUGAGGAACCUGCCUUGAAGAGGGGGACAACAGUUGGAAACGACUGCUAAUACCGCAUGAUGCAUAGGGGUCGCAUGAUCUUUAUGCCAAAGAUUUAUCGCUUCAAGAUGGCCUCGCGUCUGAUUAGCUAGUUGGCGGGGUAACGGCCCACCAAGGCGACGAUCAGUAGCCGGACUGAGAGGUUGAACGGCCACAUUGGGACUGAGAUACGGCCCAGACUCCUACGGGAGGCAGCAGUGGGGAAUAUUGGGCAAUGGGCGCAAGCCUGACCCAGCAACGCCGCGUGAAGGAAGAAGGCUUUCGGGUUGUAAACUUCUUUUAAGAGGGAAGAGCAGAAGACGGUACCUCUAGAAUAAGCCACGGCUAACUACGUG
rnacentral:rRNA from 1 species